GAGCAGCUUAACUACAGUUUUCAUAACAAUUGUGCAUUUUGUGAUAAAAGCAUCAAAUUUGGCACACACAUUCUAAAUGAACUAAUGUUAAUUUUCAGAUAUGGACCCAUCCUGGAGUUGACCUCUGAUGAGCUAUAGGGGUCAAUAAGAAUUCCACAGGGGUCAAAAUUUUAAAAUGCUCCAAUCAUGUUGAAAGCUAUACCACAUUAUUUGUCUGAUCAUAACAAUUCCAAAAAGGUAUAGUGUGGACUAUCUAUGACUGAAUGUUCUGGAGUUAUGAGGUAAAAACAGCAAAAAUGGUGACAAAGGUCAGUUUCAGUUUGUACAGGGGUCAAAACUUAAGGUUGCCCCAAUUUUGG